rnacentral:rRNA from 1 species
CCUACGGGUGGCAGCAGUGGGGAAUAUUGCACAAUGGGCGAAACCCUGAUGCAGCGACGCCGCGUGAGUGAAGAAGUAUUUCGGUACGUAAAGCUCUAUCAGCAGGGAAGAACGUGACGGUACCUGAUAAAGAAGCCCCGGCUAACUACGUGCCAGCAGCCGCGGUAAUACGUAGGGGGCAAGCGUUAUCCGGAUUUACGGGGUGUAAAGGGAGAGUAGAUGGCAGAGCAAGGCUGGAGUGAAAAGCCCGAGCUUAACGCUGGAACUGCUUUCGAAACUGUGCAGCUAGAGUGCAGGAGAGGAUAGUGGAAUUCCUAGUGUAGCGGUGAAAUGCGUAGAUAUUAGGAGGAACACCAGUGGCGAAGGCGGCUUACUGGACUGUAACUGACGUUGAGGCUCGAAAGCGUGGGGAGCAAACAGGAUUAGAUACCCCAGUAGUC